AUGAGCGUUGCUCAUGGCUUGAUCACCGCCAUUGCGCUUAAAAUGUAGGAAUCAGAGUUGUAUUCUUAUGCUGCUAAUUUGGACAGUUCAUGAGGCUAAAGGAAAACCAUAUGGGUGAAAUGUGCAAGUAUCUUAGCAUAAUUCCUGGAUUGCAAUGCUUUGAGUUGCAUUGCUUGCAGCGCCGUCAGACAUCACUAAUAGGAAUUUUAAAACUGCUGGAAAAUGUGGGUGUCGAUCCUCCCGCUUGUCCUAUCUAAGGUUCUCUGCUGCCCUUCCUAAAAUUAGUGCUAUGAGGAACCUCUGAAACAAAAGGUAUAUAUGCAAUUGGCGUGGGAUGACUUCUUGCUGCUCUUAAUUUGAAGAGUGAAUUUUAAUGUUUCGAUAUCAGUUUCUCAUGUUUGACUUCAAGACCAUUCUUGCUCUAAUUUAGUUCUUGUUUAAUUCUACAGGAAUUUUUCUCCCCCUAUGGAUUUUCUGUCAAGAAAAUGUGUUUGUAUAUGUUGAGCAGAUUGGGAUUUAUUUUAUGCUUCAGUUGUAAUGAAUAAACCAGUUCAGAAAUGCA